UCCCUCCCUCCCAUGUCUCUGGCACCUCUGGCCCCAGGCUCUACACUGGACAUCAGUGGGGCUCCAGAACAGAGAAACUCGGCCCUGCUUCUUGAGGUCACAUGUUGAUGGAGACAAACUCGUUGCUCACUGAAGGCCACACAGGGUGACAGCUGCUCUGAGGGAGGUCUGAGUGAGGUCCCAUGGGAACACGGAUCAACACCUGCCUCGAGCUAUUUCCUGCCUGGCUGGCAGGUUCUGUUCCAAAUGGCACUGGCUCCUGACCUGGCUUCCCUUCAUGGUGGAGGGUAGGAGAGAACACCCCCAUGGUGUUUUAACACAGCAAUAGAGAGCAAACUACAGCGGCUACCCUGAAAACAAGGCGAUCUCAAACCUGCCCCGAUCCUGAGACUGCCCAAAGGUCAUAUGUGUUGGCUUGCAAUAGAGCUGGGGCAUCUUGGGCAGUUCUCCUGCUGAUGCAAAAGGCGGGGUCCCAUGGUUGCCCCCAAAGUUCUUAGACUGGAGUCUCACAGCUGGGGAAGGGGAGAAUGAGAAGAGUCUCUGUGAGAUUUCCAGCAGGAAUUCACCUGGAGGAGAUGGCCCCUGGUCUGGAUGCAUCAAGGUCAAGUGCAGGAGUGCAUACCCAGCGAGGGAACUCACCUAGAGUGUGCCAGGAGAGGUGCAGGUGGCAGGAAGGACAUGAAACAGCCCUAAUGGGAGACAGUUUGGUUGGGAGUGAAGGGAACACCCUCAGAAUGGACUCGAUGCCUUCAGACUGACGGGAGCUAGGGACAUUUGAGGGGGACCUUGUCCG
rnacentral:sRNA from 1 species